rnacentral:rRNA from 1 species
UACGAGAGGCCCAAACGUUAUUCGGAAUUACUGGGCUUAAAGGGCUCGUAGGCGGUUUGUCGCGUCGGGAGUGAAAUCCACUGGCUUAACUGGUGGCUUGCUUUCGAUACGGGCAGACUGGAGGUAUGCAGGGGAGAACGGAAUUCCUGGUGUAGCGGUGAAAUGCGCAGAUAUCAGGAGGAACACCGGUGGCGAAGGCGCCACUCUGGGCCGAAACUGACGCUGAGGAGCGAAAGCCAGGGGAGCAAACGGG